rnacentral:rRNA from 1 species
CAGUAGCCGCGGUAAUACGGAGGGUGCAAGCGUUAAUCGGAAUUACUGGGCGUAAAGCGCACGCAGGCGGUCUGACAAGUCAGAUGUGAAAUCCCCGGGCUUAACCUGGGAACUGCAUUUGAAACUGUCAGGCUGGAGUCUUGUAGAGGGGGGUGGAAUUCCAGGUGUAGCGGUGAAAUGCGUAGAGAUCUGGAGGAAUACCGGUGGCGAAGGCGGCCCCCUGGACAAAGACUGACGCUCAGGUGCGAAAGCGUGGGGAGCAAACAGGUUUAGAUACCCCGGUAGUCCCUGUCUCUUAUAC